GCGAGUAUCUGAUAUUUUUUCAAAUCAGAUAUUUUCAAUGACUUCAAGUUGUUCUAAAAUUUUUGAUCUACUUAACUCCUUAGGUGGUGGAUAUCGAUCAGACUUACCAUCAAAAAAUUAAUUAUAAUGGAUCCUCCAAGAAUGAUUAACAAAAAAAACCACCGAUGACCCAUGAAACAUAUUUUUCGUCUGAGCUUUAAAUGUAAGGAGGAUGCAUUCCUAUUGCAUAUUGGACAUGCCAGAUAUCCUUUGGUGCUCCAUUCAGAUAAAUUUUCAUAU
rnacentral:lncRNA from 1 species